UUAACCUUACUCCAACAGGGGCAGUCAUAUAGCGACCGAUGUAAAGGGAAAGGAAAUCGGAGGAAAGGAGACAGAAGAUUAAUGGAAAUGGAGGGGGAAGAGAGAGAGAGGGACAGAAAGAGAGAGAGAGAGUGAAAGAAACACCAGAGGCUAGUGGGAGUCCUGAGUUUUCUCCCCAUGUGUCGAAUCUCAGGCAGAUUUGCAACGCAAGUCGCUAAGUAUCUUAACUGUUCAGAGCUAUGCGGCUUUAAGGUCUUGUGUGAAAUUAAAAGGGAAAACUUAACACGACCGGCCCCGGGGCCUUCAUCCUCUUCCCUCGUCAAGCAUUUCCGUCAACUCUCUUCAUGUUCCCAAGCCAGUUAUGGCGCUAAAAGACACAGGGUUAUUUCGCGCCCUCCACACUGGUGUGGCUUGAUAAUUCUCACAGUCAACACCCACCUUGCCCAAACUAUCUGGCUUCUUUCCCACAUAUUAUUAGCUAAAGAACUUAGCUGCCCCGAUCUUCUUACGGUAAAGAUCUUAGCCUUUUAGUCGCGAGGAUCGCCUUAACUUGCCACCCUAUAAAGUGCUUUAGUGGAAGACCCUUCCUCAGUCGCGCCAGGGAUCUCUGCUGCUAUCAGCCGCCCCCAUGGCCAAGCUUCUGGUGUAGAAAUAUUUUGCUGUGCUACAUACGCUGGUGUGGGUAGUCUUACCUUUCGACAGGAAACACAAGCCCAUCUGUUCGUAACCCUGUGCUUUAUUUCUCGCCCUCUGAAGUGUUCCAGUAUGAGGUCUCCAUCCCACCCCAACAACAGGAUGUUCGCUAAUGCUGACCACGUAACUUGCGGCUGAACUGGUCAACGAUCACAUCUGACCUCACUGGUGUCUGCUACACUCGACAAUUCCAGCCUCGUUCACGGAUUUUAUUGCUCAAGCUUCAGUGUAGGAUACGUGGCAGUGUGUGCACUUGAAUGAUGUGGUGAUUCGCUUCAUAGUUUGCCAAUAGUGCGUACGUGCUGGGGACACCUCAAAUGGCCGGUCUUUGCUGCCGACCGCGUCUGUGUACAUACAACAGGCACUGUGGACACGGACAGCGUGCGCCUGACUUUUCUUUAUAGUCAACCUGUGAAGUCGCCACUGCGGUAAACUUUAUUAUAUCGUAUAACUUGCACAGACCAAGACACUAGUGUUACACUAUUCUUUGCAACAUACUCUAUCGACCUAACAGUAGUGUUACAGUAGUUUUUUGUCUGACAACAUACCCCAAGUAGACCAAGAAAAUAGUAUUAUUACUAUUACUUUAUCUGACUACAUAUUCUACAGAAUGUCCGUGUUCCUUAAAUUUUAAUUGGGAAACAUCGCCGUUUAAUGUCAAACGCCAAAUCCUCUUAAAUACUGCAGGUUAGUAGGUAGGGGUUUUUUUUUUUUUUUUGUUUUUUUUUUUAGAAAUUCUGCUUCCAUGGUGAAACUGUAGCAAAUUACACUCGCAAGUAUUUAUGUGUUGAAAUGCUACAGGUAUAGUCAUACCUCCAUCUCUCUAUCUGAAACUCUUCCACCUUCCUCUCUCGAAACAGCUUCGUCUUUUUUUUUAAUCAACAAAACAUAAUUGGUAAGCAGAAAGACAUGGAUUUGAAUCUCUUGGAUUACUCCCCCUUUAACGCGUUGCCGGAGGUCAUGACCACACGUCCCAUCACAGACCUGCGCCAUGGUGUUCAUUUGUGUACCUCGCACCAUCAGCCGGGUCUUCAUCACCUUCUACCUCACUUCCCUCACACCCUCUCCCCACCCCAUCUCUCCCCUCUUUCCCCCCUAGCCUUCGCCGGCAGCGUGCGUUUGUCUUCAAGUCAAAAAACGACCACGUAACGAAGGCCAUUUUGGGCAAAAGCCGAGAUUAGGUUCCAGUGUCCCCCAUCCCCAGGCAAAGGAUCCUCAAACGCCCCAAGAGCGCCAUCCUGUCUCUUCCCCCCUCUAUCCCCCUCCCCCCAGCCCAUCUCGUGAUGCGAGUGUGCAUGAUGCUAGUGCUGCUGUUGCUGCUGCAGCAAGACCUCCACACCCUGAGCAAGAAGCGCCGGACGAAAAUCCACGACAAAGCAGGCCCCUGUGCUAAUUUCGCCGAGGUUAGGGCCUGUUCGUAAAGCACAUUAAUUCCGCCAGUGCCUGUUGUUGCCCAGGGGAUAAUGUUUGCAUGUGGCAAUUGGAGACGGGUCGGUGAGCAGACAUUCACAUGAACGUCAUAGACACGCGAACACGCAACGCUCGGAAAGCCUUCAAUAUGCCAUUCUCCUACCUGCCGGCUCAACCUGUAGAGGCACAGGUUGAGGGUCUGGCCACUAAUCUGUAAACCCAAAGAAGGCCUGCCCACUGACUCGCAGUGUCAAAGAGAACAGUGCCACCCGGCCCCAGUUUAUAAACCUGUAAUGUGAUUGGGGAGCCAGUCCACCCAUACGCAAAAUUAUGGGCGACCUGUCCACUAAUAUGCAAAUUCAAAGAAGGCAGAAAUAAAGAAAUUAACGUCACCAGUAUGGGAAAGAGGGAACGGAGCAGCCAAAGACAGGUAUGCGAGAAGGGUGGAACGUAAAGGCACAGCACUUCAGGGUAUCACCGAUACCUGCUAACCAGCUCAUCAAACAAGACAUUUUCCACAAAUCUGUCAAAAGAUUUGUCUGGUCUUCGUUCUCUAGAACCACACUUCAAGCGCAGGGAAGAAUAACAGCGCACCAAGGCGCACGCCACCAGACGUGUAACCAAACGCCAGGCGACAAUGCCAGGCCUCUUCGGAAGAAAAGGCAGAAACAAAAAGUCCGCCACCACGUUCGACAACUCCUGUGUGAGUCAAGCAGACUGUUUCUCGCUCCCUGUGCGGUUGCCUUUCAUUUUCUCUCAAGUCCCUCGCACUCUUUUCCCUUCGACCCUCUUUACAAUGGCUUGCGGCUUGUGGCAAGGCCCUGCUCAUUGUGUGUGAAGGCGGGGGGAAGGAGGGUUAUCGAUAAAAUCGAAGCGGAACAACAAAUGGGCUCGCUGAGAAAUCUGGCCCCGGAUCAAUGAGAGAAGGGCCAACUGUGUCAACGCAACGGAAACCAGAGCCGGGUGGAGCAAAUUAUAAAAGUGUAACCAAAAAUCUGGGUGCGGAGCCUGGUAAAGCUGAGCUGGCCAUGGCCGGGCAUGGGGGAGGCUGGUGAGCCUCGUGCCUGCCCAUCUUCAGCCUCCUGACUAAUGACUGCCUCCCCGUGAUCAAAUUCGGCGAAGCCCGCUCCACAGCGGAAUUCUGUCAACACAAAAAACAAUUACAGCGGUGGGAAAGCUACAAGAUGGCCGGUGUCUUGUCCUGUCCUCAUCUCUUCUAACGCGUCUUCUUUAUCUGUCAUCUGCUCCAGGAAGAAAAAGAAAAAUAGCACCCAACACAAUAUGGAUUUGUGGAUUAUGGAAACUGUUGAAACCAUCCAAAAACACCACCACCCUCCCCUCAAAAAAAAAAGUAUUUGAACAGCAACUCUGUGAAAUAAACGCUGCUUUGAAACAGCUGCCUUAAGGUUUCUAGAAAACGCGUAAAAUGUCCGUUUUGUCCUUGCGAGAGUAUGUGUCGGCUUACACUCUAUCGAUACUCUCUUUCAAGAACACCCGUUUGUCGAGACUAGGAUCGUCAUAGAAAAUAGGUAGUCACAAGAUGCUACAUUCAUGUUUAGGUACUGAAAGAACAAAAUCUCUGAUACUUGUAGGACGUACAAAAGGAUGUACUUUUAUUCUCGCUGAUUACAUGAUAAUAUUUCUUAUGAUCUAAGUGAAUGGCUUCUUUCUGCUCUUGAGAAACAGAGAAAAAGGUCAACGCCGUCACGUCACCAAAAGCCCCUGGCCACGCCUGACUGACAUUUGGUCCCAGUUCUUCCACUGGCUGUAGCCUUUAAGCACGGCCUUUAAUCAAGUGUACCUUCAUGAAAGACAAAGUGUUUUGCAAAACCAUUCACUAAAAAUGGAACAAAUCAUAUUAAAUUUUCGGGAACGUCUUUACGAAACCGAAAUCGGCGUCUAGAUGAACAAAAGGAAUCAAAGGUGCCAACGAAUAUGGACUUUGAACAGGACGAGGUCACGACUUGCUCCCGCCAUAAAGAGCACAAAUGAAGGAAUGUGUGAGGUUGGUGCUGCCGAUGCCAGCCUUCUCAAGAGCUGUGGGAAAGGCCAAAAGAAUGAAAGACAUUUGUCUUCAACAAGGGAGUAUCAGUUGCCCGGCCUCUGAGGGUCUCGGUUCUUAGACUCGGGCACCAGGUCUUCUGGUCGCCCGCGAUUUCCUCUUUUUGUGGUGUGUAGCAGAUUAAUGUGCUGACAGACUAGUGAUUUAAAGGGUGGGGAAGGCCACAGCGGAGGAGAGGAUUCUACACACACAGCCAGAUAUCUCUAUCGACGGAUUUGAAGCAGUUUUCAUCCGCCAGGUAAAUAUGGUUUGCGUCUUCCUUGCAGACCCUGACCCCGAGUGGCCAGCGGAUCAUUAGCAUUUUCUUCUGACAGCGGUCUUUAUAAUUCGUCCAAGAGUUUCUUCUGCAUGCUUCCCGCUUUCAGUCGAUAGCAGCUGUGGUUACUACAGGGAGAGGGAGAGCAUUAGAAAUGGAUAUAGUUAUGAUCUUGUACGUGAAGGGUAAAAUGCACCAUAACAGAUAAACAAAUACACGUGUGCAUCCAAACAUGCACACACCUGUUGUGGCCCACAAUAGAGCGACUCUAAUGCAAUACAUCAAAGCUGCAGAAGAAAAUGGCGUGACAGCAGUCAGAUGAAGGUUGAGGAAACCACGAACGGGCUGACACAAAGCAAGGAGUGUUGGAGAAAAAAGGCUGAGCUGAGAAUUCCUUCAGAACUCGAGUGGUUUAAUAGCACCGACGGCAGGCACUGCGGCCAACAUCAAUGGCGCAACCACGGGACGCGCUCUUCUCGUAAGACAAUCGUAUCUCAACCCAAAGACUCGCACUUGACCGACACUAAGCCGCAGAUUUUGUCAAACCCAGCGCAAGCUAAUUAGAGCCGAAGUCAUUGGCUCCCUCUAUAACGUUGACAGGAAAGUCGACAGGAACUGGAAGAAAGAAACAGAUGGCUGGGUGGAGGGAGAAACUGCUGAGAACCUGGGGGGAAGAGUAUUUUUUCUGUGUGUGCGUGCGUCUUUACUAAGGUGAGCCACCAACUAUCGACGUUAGCCGGGACACAUGGGGCAGUCUUCAAGAUGGAGUUGCAAGCCAUGAAGAGAAAGGGUGGUCGCGGAGAAAGGGGGCCAGCAGCCGGUC